rnacentral:rRNA from 1 species
ACGUAUGGUGCAAGCGUUAUCCGGAUUUACUGGGUGUAAAGGGAGCGUAGACGGCUGUGUAAGUCUGAAGUGAAAGCCCGGGGCUCAACCCCGGGACUGCUUUGGAAACUAUGCGGCUAGAGUGUCGGAGAGGUAAGUGGAAUUCCCAGUGUAGCGGUGAAAUGCGUAGAUAUUGGGAGGAACACCAGUGGCGAAGGCGGCUUACUGGACGAUGACUGACGUUGAGGCUCGAAAGCGUGGGGAGCAAACAG